GACGAACGCUGGCGGCAUGCUUAACACAUGCAAGUCGAACGAAGUGGCGAACGGGUGAGUAAUACGUGAGUAACCUGCCCUCCUGUUUGGGAUAAGCCUUGGCAACGGGGUCUAAUACCGGAUUAAGGGGGAUGGGCUGGUGGGCUAUCAGCUUGUUGGUGGGGUGAUGGCCUACCAAGGCGGCGACGGGUAGCCGGUCUGGGGGGGUGACCGGCGACAGUGGCACUGAGAUAAGGCCCAGACUACUACGGGAGGGAGUAGUUGGGGAUAUUGCAAGAGGGGUGAUAGCCUGAUGCAGCGUGGACGCGUGGGGGAUGAAGGUUUUAGAGUUGUAAACCUUUUGCGCGAUCGAACGGGUAGGUGGAGAAGAAGCGCCGGCUAACUACGUGCCAGCAGCCGCGGUAAUUC
rnacentral:rRNA from 1 species